CUAACUAUAAACGAUGCCGACUAGGGAUCGGUGGGCGUUAAUAUAAAAUUGUUAGAAAUUCGAGUUUUUUCUGACUUGUUUUUUUUUUUUAAAAAGAGACAAGUCUUUUAAAACUUUUUCUAACAAGAAAUGACCCCAUCGGCACCUCAAUUUGAUACUUCUCAAUGGGAAACCAAAGUUUUUGGGUUCCGGGGGGAGUAUGGUCGCAAGGCUGAAACUUAAAGGAAUUGACGGAAGGGCACCACCAGGAGUGGAGUUUGCGGCUUAAUUUGACUCAACACGGGAAAACUCACCAGGCCCAGACAUGGUAAGGAUUGACAGAUUGAGAGCUCUUUCUUGAUUCCAUGAAAGGUGGCGCAUGGCCGUUCUUAGUUGGUGGAGUGAUUUGUCUGGUUAAUUCCGUUAACGAACGAGACCUUGGCCUGCUAACUAGGGGGGGUUAUCGUUUGGAUAAGUUUAACAGAGUUAGUGAAGUUUUUAUUUUAUCUUUCGGGAUAGAUUAAUAAAUUUUCUAGCUGUUGUUGCUUGUUCAUAUUUUGCGAUAGCACCUAAGAUUAAAUAAAUCUUUCAACCCUCUUUCUGACUUAAGGGAAAGAGAGAAAAUGUGUAGAAGAGGGGGAAAUUUAUUUUCCUUUUUUUUAUAUGUUUUUUCAUUCAAAUCUUUUCUUUUUGUUGGGAGAGGAAAAAUCCUUCUUAGAGGGACUAUCUGCGUUUUUACAACUAGCAGGUGGAAGCUCGAGGCAAUAACAGGUCUGUGAUGCCCUUAGAUGUCCUGGGCUGCACGCGUACUACACUGACGAAUUCAACAAGUGAUUUAAAUUUGAUGAGGCUACUUGCUUUUUUUCUCCUUCGGGAGGAGAGAGGGAAAAGGGCUUUAUCAAAAACCUUGGCAGAAAUGUCUGGGUAAUCUCUUCAAAGUUCGUCGUGCUAGGGAUAGAUGAUUGUAAUUAUU
rnacentral:rRNA from 1 species